CCCUUAGAUGUUCUGGGCCGCACGCGCGCUACACUGAACAGUUCAACAAGUCUUAACCUUGGCCGAUAGGUCUGGGUAAUCUUUGAACGCUGUUCGUGAUUGGGAUAGACCUUUGCAAUUAUGGGUCUUCAACGAGGAAUUCCUAGUAAACGCAAGUCAUCAGCUUGCAUUGAUUACGUCCCUGCCCUUUGUACACACCGCCCGUCGCACCUACCGAUUGAAUGGUCCGGUGAAAUCUCGGGACGGCGGCUUGGUCGCUUGCGUCGGACUGCUGAAACUUGAUUAAACCAUAUCAUUUAGAGGAAGGUGAAGUCGUANCA
rnacentral:rRNA from 1 species